rnacentral:rRNA from 1 species
CAGCCGCCGCGGUAAUACGUAGGUGGCAAGCGUUGUCCGGAAUUAUUGGGCGUAAAGGGCUCGCAGGCGGUUCCUUAAGUCUGAUGUGAAAGCCCCCGGCUCAACCGGGGAGGGUCAUUGGAAACUGGGAAACUUGAGUGCAGAAGAGGAGAGUGGAAUUCCACGUGUAGCGGUGAAAUGCGUAGAGAUGUGGAGGAACACCAGUGGCGAAGGCGACUCUCUGGUCUGUAACUGACGCUGAGGAGCGAAAGCGUGGGGAGCGAACAGGAUUAGAUACCCGGGUAGUCCCUGUCUCUUAUAC